GUGCCAGCCGCCGCGGUAAUACGGAGGGUGCAAGCGUUAAUCGGAAUUACUGGGCGUAAAGCGCGCGUAGGUGGCUUGAUAAGCCGGUUGUGAAAGCCCCGGGCUCAACCUGGGAACGGCAUCCGGAACUGUCAGGCUAGAGUGCAGGAGAGGAAGGUAGAAUUCCCGGUGUAGCGGUGAAAUGCGUAGAGAUCGGGAGGAAUACCAGUGGCGAAGGCGGCCUUCUGGACUGACACUGACACUGAGGUGCGAAAGCGUGGGUAGCAAACAGGAUUAGAUACCCUGGUAGUCCACGCCGUAAACGAUGUCGACCAGCCGUUGGGUGCCUAGAGCACUUUGUGGCGAAGUUAACGCGAUAAGUCGACCGCCUGGGGAGUACGGCCGCAAGGUUAAAACUCAAAUGAAUUGACGGGGGCCCGCACAAGCGGUGGAGCAUGUGGUUUAAUUCGAUGCAACGCGAAGAACCUUACCUACCCUUGACAUCUACAGAAGCCGGAAGAGAUUCUGGUGUGCCUUCGGGAACUGUAAGACAAGUGCUGCAUGGCUGUCGUCAGCUCGUGUUGUGAAAUGUUGGGUUAAGUCCCGUAACGAGCGCAACCCUUGUCCUUAUUUGCCAGCGAGUAAUGUCGGGAACUCUAAGGAGACUGCCGGUGACAAACCGGAGGAAGGUGGGGACGACGUCAAGUCAUCAUGGCCCUUACGGGUAGGGCUACACACGUGCUACAAUGGCCGGUACAAAGGGCUGCGAGCUCGCGAGAGUCAGCGAAUCCCUUAAAGCCGGUCUCAGUCCGGAUCGGAGUCUGCAACUCGACUCCGUGAAGUCGGAAUCGCUAGUAAUCGUGAAUCAGAAUGUCACGGUGAAUACGUUCCCGGGCCUUGCACACACCGCCCGUC
rnacentral:rRNA from 1 species